rnacentral:rRNA from 1 species
CCUACGGGGGGCUGCAGUCGAGAAUCUUCGGCAAUGGGCGCAAGCCUGACCGAGCGACGCCGCGUGUGGGAUGAAGGCCCUUGGGUUGUAAACCACUGUCAGAGGGGAUGAAAUGCCAGCCAGCAAUCUGGCUGGUUUGACAUAGCCUCAGAGGAAGCACGGGCUAAGUUCGUGCCAGCAGCCGCGGUAAUACGAACUGUGCGAACGUUAUUCGGAAUCACUGGGCUUACAGGGUGCGUAGGCGGCUUGUUAAGUAGGGUGUGAAAGCCCCCGGCUCAACCGGGGAAUGGCGCCCUAAACUGGCGAGCUGGAGUGAGACAGGGGUGUGUGGAACUUCCGGUGGAGCGGUGAAAUGUGUUGAUAUCGGAAGGAACGCCGGUGGCGAAAGCGACACACUGGGUCUUGUCUGACGCUGAGGCACGAAAGCCAGGGGAGCGAAC